ACGGUUGUGGGCAAAGACAGAUGCAUGCCCUGCUCUGAGGAGGUUUUGCUCCAAAUUAGGCCAUAGAGGAGAGGAGAAGGAGGAAAGAUGGGGGUUAGCAAGGGCCCCCUGAGCCCCCGCUGAUUUGUUCUGCCAGCGCUGAAUCAAUCCAACUGCGAUUUCAUUCUGUUGGUGAAAUGCUUUGUUGUUAUCACCUGGAAACAAUGGGGCUCUCUGCUGUCCCUGAGAGCUGCAGCCAGUUGGAAAGCAUCCUCAGUGCUCCUAUAGCCUGCUGUAGUGUGGGCAGGUCACGUCACGCCACGCGAUAAGAUCCAACACAGCCAUGCUGCACAGAACCUGCUCCACCCGCCGGGUGAUGGAUGCUGCUCCCUGCCCGUGAAUCAUGCUCAUGGUUGUGUAAGGUUUAUGCUGUAUUUCUGCGGCCCUUAUAAAGUUCUGCACAAUUUAUAUGCA